rnacentral:tRNA from 1 species
GUUGAACAACAACAGUAGCCCUUCAUACUUCAAGUUUGGGUUAAACCCCCAAUAAGAAUUAUAAUUUAG